rnacentral:rRNA from 1 species
UACAGAGGGGGCAAGCGUUGUUCGGAAUUACUGGGCGUAAAGGGCGCGUAGGCGGCCUGUUAAGUCGAACGUGAAAUCCCCGGGCUCAACCCGGGAACUGCGUCCGAUACUGGCAGGCUUGAAUUCGGGAGAGGGAUGUGGAAUUCCAGGUGUAGCGGUGAAAUGCGUAGAUGAUCUGGAGGAACACCGGUGGCGAAGGCGGCGAUCCUGGACAGUUCCUGGACGCUGAGGCACGAAGGUCAGGGGAGCGAAAGCGGG